rnacentral:lncRNA from 1 species
AUUUUGGACGUGAGGAUGAAAAUGAUGCAGUUAUUCCGUUUUCCCUUUUUUUAGUCUUGCAUUGGUUACAGUGUGGUAACCAGUAGACCAGAGCCUUUUCUGUGUAAAGUGAUGAACAUUCAAAGACCUACCACAUGAAGUCUCAAUCCUGCACUCAAACACGUGGCGAGAGCUUCCCGUGUUUCCAGAGGCCCACUACAGCCAACAGAAACAACACAGAUCACUUUGGAAGAGUUCUUGGAGGAGAAAUCCUGCAGGGAGCCUGCAAAGAAGUUGGUGUAAGAACAGCAAGAAGUCUCAGGUGGAGGUGUCCCCCCAAGGAAAACUGCUCCUCUUGCUUAUAGUACCAGCAAAUCACACCAACAGAUGGAAAUGAAUAUCCCAGCAUUUUAGGUGCAGGAGCUUGAAAAUGUCAGAGCAGUUCAAGCACGUGGAAAGGUAUUAGGAGGAAAUAUCACCAAUAAAGAAAUUCAGUAGACUGAUUUCUUAAUACA